CAAUGGCCCUCUACAUUCCCUACAUAGUGCACUACUGUGGGCCCUGGUCAAAAGUAGUGCACUAUAUAGGGAAUAGGGUGCCAUUUG
rnacentral:pre_miRNA from 1 species